rnacentral:rRNA from 1 species
UACGUAGGAUGCAAGCGUUGUUCGGAAUUACUGGGCGUAAAGAGUACGUAGGCGGUUUGGUAAGUCUGAUAUUAAAGACCGGAGCUCAACUUCGGGACUGUAUCGGAAACUAUCAGACUAGAGGACAAUAGAGGAAGUCGGAAUUCUCAGUGUAGCGGUGAAAUGCGUAGAUAUUGGGAAGAACACCAGUGGCGAAAGCGGACUUCUGGGUUGUUACUGACGCUGAGGUACGAAAGCGUGGGGAGCAAACGGG